GCUGGGAACAGUCUCACAUGAUGACCCUUCUCUCUCUGAUGGGCUGUGGUGGUGAUGAUCAUCCAAGCCUCUAAGAAGUUGGCUGAAGAGACUGCUCUGGG
rnacentral:snoRNA from 1 species